AAUCAGUUUCAACUCGACAGAGAAAGGUCCAGGACAGGUUUAGCCUAUCUUAGCACAAAGCAAUGUGCUUUCUAUGCUUGGUAUGGUUUGUUUAGGG